UAUGUGGGUGGUUAUUUUAAAUUUAUUAUGUAACUUUGCCAACAGAGCGCCGUUACCGUUGAUCGAUGCACUGAGCAGUGAACAUUAUCCCCACUCUAAGCCUAAAAGCGUUAUACUCACACGGCCAAUUUUCCAUGAAUACAAAUCAACAGCAGGAUGUACUGUUAUCACUUGGAUUCAAUUAUGAUAAUCCAUUUGUGUUGAAAUCCAUAGUUCACUGCUCAGUGCUCAGUGCUUAGUGCAUUUUAGUGCUUUAUGUUGUUUAUGUAUUAGCAUUAUGUUGAACAUCACCGGUCUUCCAUUACCUAGUGUUUAUUUAUCGUGAUGUCGUUUGAAAACAUUUCAUCAUUAUCGUAGAAUAUUUUUUUAGUGCCUAUAUUUUUAUAACUUUAUUUUAUUUUUAGUGUCAUUAUUAUUAUCUAAACUAAAUAUUUGUUUCGGCGGUAUUUAUAUUUUAACCUAUUGUCUAUGGUUUCAACAAUUUACAACUUAACAAGUAAGAUUUUUAACUUUAUUAAUUAUUACAAUUAUUACAGUAGAUAGAUACAAAAUACAUAAUGUGUAAAGAUCAAAUUGUAUGUAUUCUUAUAAGAAUUUACCUAUUUACUUAACAUUCAAUAAC